GAUGAACGCUGGCGGCGUGCUUAACACAUGCAAGUCGAGCGAAAGGACGCUAAGCUUGCUUCUUGCUCGUUAGCCGAGCACGGGUGAGUAACAUGUGGAAAAUCCACUUAUCAGUCUGGGAACAUCUCGGGACACCGUAUAUUAUACCGGAUAAUCUUCUGCUCCGUAGGGGUCAAUAGUAAAAGACGGUCGUUCUGUCUCGACUAGCGGCUUAUGCGCUGGAUUAGCUAGUUGGUGGGGUAACGGGUUAUCAAGGCUACGAUGCGUAGCCGAAGUGCGAGGGUGCUCGGCCACACUGGAGCUGGGACACGGUCCAUGCGCCUGCGAGAGGCAGCAGUCGGGAAUCUUCCGCAAUAGGCGGAAGCCUGACGGAGCAGCGCCACGUGAGUGAUGGAGGUCUUCGGAUCGUAAAACUCUGUUAUUAGGGAUGAACAGAUGUGUAAGUAGCUGUACACAUCGUGACGGUACCUAGUCAGAAAGCCCCGGCUAACUACGUG
rnacentral:rRNA from 1 species